CCUCUCUUGACCAAAGGGACUAACAGAAAAAAACAUCAACUCGGCUAAGGCAAAGUACCAGAAUGAAGGUAGGCACACAACAAGAUGUAGCAUAUAUCAAAACAGAAAAUAAAGCAGAUUUAAAUUCAUGUCAAAGCAGUCUGAAAUACAAUCUAAUAAAUCUGUAAGAGUUUAUUCAGUAAUUAAGCAGGUGCAUGCUGGCCACCAACCGCAGUUUUAGUGUGAUUUAGGUUUUAAGGGACGCGGAUGGCGCUGUGGGUUAAACCACAGAGCCUAGGGCUUGCCAAUCAGAAGGUCGGCGGUUCGAAUCCCUGCAACGGGGUGAGCUCCUGUUGCUCGGUCCCUGCUCCUGCCAACCUAGCAGUUCGAAAGCACGUCGAAGUGCAAGUAGAUAAAUAGUUACCGCUCCGGUGGGAAGGUAAACAGUGUUUCCGUGCACUGCUCUGGUUUGCCAGAAGCAGUUUAGUCAUGCUGGCCACAUGACCCGGAAGCUGUACACUGGCUCCCUUGGCCAAUAAAGCAAGAUGAGCGCCACAAUCCCGAGUUGUCCGUGACUGGACCUAAUGGUCAGGACUUUACCCUUUUAGGUUUCUUUUAAAUGGUAGCAUUCACUGAGGAGGUCCAAUCAAGCAGCUUAGUAGAUUUGGUGAUGUCUAGCUGAUGUUGAGUCCUGCGUAAUUGCAAGAUGUUCACCACAAUGUAUUUUGAAAGGAUUGCAACCCCCACCAUUCCUGACCAGUGGCUAAUGGGGGCUGUGGCUGAAGAAGGUUGGAGUAGAGCAUGCAAGCUUCAUUCACGUCUAUGGAAAAAUCUUCCCGAAAAUCUGGCUUGGCAAAAUAGCACUCAUUAAAAUGAAAGUGGUAACCAAAAUUGGCAUACCUUUUUGAAGUACUACCAGUUUAUAUACAACAAGAUAAAUUUACAAAGUGGUAGAUAAUGAUAAAAGGUAGAGAGAAAAAACAAAGGGGGAGAUGGCUGGACAUAGCAGUAGGAGACCCCAUAAUACUUAACAUCUGGUAUUUAGUGCCUUCCAAGUUAGGCAAUUGUUGGCAUUAAUACAUGAAAAUAAAGCUAAUUUGUGGGUCAAUAUGGAAUUAGAAGACAGGGAGAUGUUACAAGGACCUUACAUUUGGGGGAAAGAAAAGUAGUUUUUUGUAUUUUACUCAAGAAUCAAGAGUCAAAGGAUACACAUGUACUGCACACAGCAAUAUGUACCAUAGGUUUACUGUUUUUUUGUUCUGUGGUGUUUGUUCAUGGGCAAAAAAUUAUCAAGAAAGAAAAUUAUAAAAAGUAAUUGGGUGGCUCUAUUUUACAAUGGCUUUAUAAAAGUAUAAUUUAUGCCUAUGCUUGACCUGUACAAAAAUGCAAUGCCCAUGGGUGCUUUACAGACAGGGGUGAGAUUCUCUUAUGGUCCAUUUAAAUUUACGCAGCACACCUCACAUUAAUAGGUAAGGUAAAUGAAACAAACAUUCUUACAAGCACAUUGUUGCUCAUGCCCAAGACUUCAGCCAGUUUUCAGGUGUACUUAUCCUGCUCAGCUCUCCAUCUGUCUGCAGGGUAGAUGCCUUCUAUUGAUAGAUAACCAGUGGCCCUCCAGAUGUUGUUGGACUCAGAAUCUUAAGAGUUGAAGGGUCAUCUACUCCAAUCCCCUGCAAUGCAGGAAUCUCAGCUAAAGCAUCCAUGACACAUGGCCAUCCAACUUCUGCUUAAAAACUCCCUCUUGUGGAAGUCUGUUCCACUGCCAAACAGCUCGUUUAGUUGGAAUCUCUUGCACCUUGAAGCCGUUGCCUCGAGUCUUACCCUCAAGAACAGGAGAAAACAAGCAUGCCCCCCUUCCAUGUGACAGCCAUUAAGAUAUUUAAAGAUGGCUACUAUAUCUCCUCUCAGUCUCCUCUUUUCCAGGCUAAACAUACCCAGCUCCUUCAAGCGUUUUUCAUAAGGCUUACUUUCCAGACCCUUGAUCAUCUUCGUUGCCGCCCUCUGCACAAGUUCCAGCUUGUCAAUAUCCUUAAAUUGUGGUGCCCAGAAUUGGACACAGUAUUCCAAAAGUGGUCUAAGGCAGAAUAGAGUGGUACUAUUACUUCCCUUGAUCUGGACACUGUACUUCUAUUGAUGCAGCCUAAAAUAACAUUAGCUUUUUUUGCUACUGCAUCACACUGUUGACUCAUGUUAAGCUUGUGGUCCACCAAGACCCCUAAAUCCUUUUCACAUGUACUGCUAGUAAGCCAGGCAGUGCUCUUUUUUCUUUUAAAAAAAAAAAAAGGUUUAGGGGUACUCUCAUUUUGACUCAAGAAAAUCACCAUUUUAUAGUUCAAAUUGGGAAAAAUACAGUAAAUGGACAAAAGUACAGAUUCACAAAAUGCUUAGGGGUAUGCGUACCCCUGCAUCCCCCUAGAAAAAAAGCACUGAAGCUAGGUGUCCCCCAUCCUGUAUUUGUGUACCUGGUUCUUCCUGCCUAAGUGCCUUACAUUUAUCUCUAUUUAAAUUCAUUUUGUUAGCUUGCGCCCAGUUCUCCAAUCUGUUAAGGUCAUUUUAAAUUCUGAUUCUGUCUUCCGUGGCAUUAGCUGCUCCUCCUAUUUUAGUGUCAUCUGCAAAUUUGAUGAGCAUCCCCUCAAUUCCUUCAUCCAAGUCAUUUAUAAAGACAUAACCCUGUGGCACCCAACUUGUCACUUUUUCCCAGGAUGACAUGGAACCAUUAAUGAGUACUCAAGUUUGGUAAGUUAACCAGCUACAAAUUCACCUAACAGUUAUCUCAUUCAACCCACAUUUUAC